AUACGGAGGGUCCAAGCGUUAUACGGAUUCAUUGGGUUUAAAGGGUCCGCAGGCGGGAAAAUAAGUCAGUGGUGAAAGCCUACAGCUCAACUGUAGAACUGCCAUUGAUACUGUUUUUCUUGAGUAUAGAUGAAGUGGGCGGAAUAUAUCAUGUAGCGGUGAAAUGCAUAGAUAUGAUAUAGAACACCGAUUGCGAAGGCAGCUCACUAAACUAUUACUGACGCUCAGGGACGAAAGCGUGGGGAGCGAACAGGAUUAGAAACCCUAGUAGUCC
rnacentral:rRNA from 1 species